GUAGUGGGGAAGGGGUAAUAGAGGCAAUAGUGGGAGGCAGGGGGUAAAAGAAGCUAUUGAGGGUGCAGGGGUUGUAGAAUAAGUAGGGGGUGAUAGGGUUGUAGUGGGUGAUAGCGGUUGUCGUGGGUAAUAGGGGUUGUAGGAUGUGUAAGUGGUGAUAGGGGUUGUAGUAUAUGCAGGGGUGAUAGGAGUUGUAAUUAAUAAUGGAGUUGUAGUAUAUGUAGGGGUAAUAGGAGUUGUAAUGGGUAAUAGGGGUUGUAGUGUGUAGGGGCUGAUAGGGGUUGUAGUACGUGUAGUGGGUGAUAGGAGUUGUAGAGUGUGCUGGGGGUGAUAGGGGUUGCAGUAUGUGUAGGGGGUUAUAGGGGUUGUAGUAUGUAGUAUGUAGAAACUAUUCCAGUUUCUAAACCCACCAGGUCUCUUCUGGGUCCAACGGCAAAAAAUCAAUGUGCCUCAACAACCUGUGUCCUCUGCAUCAUACAGCAAUCUGGAAAUAGGGUUCGUCUAGUGAAUAGGUUUUUUCCGGAUCCUCCUGCAACCAGGGCCCGCGUUAUUCUGGUGCUAAACUGAACAGGUGUCCUCUGGGUCCCACAGCGAAAAAUCAUUGUCCUGGAAUACCCCUGGGGAAUAGAUUUUUCCCAGGUCCUCAUAUUCCAGGUUCUAAACUGACGUUUAAACUGACGUUCUAUGCUGACGUUUACUACAUUCUAAAUCCUCACGCAUCCAAAGGGUCCCACGGCCAUUAGGUUUCCUCCAGGCAGGUGUUUUCUAGGUUCUAAACCAACCAGGUGUCCCCUGGUCCCACAUCGAAAAAUCCUUGUGUCUCGACAACCA